CUUUUAAAUAACUAUUAAAGAUAUUAUCCCCUUGUAGUGUAGUUUAAUAGCUAUCUACAUAAUAACUUAAUAUAAAGUAUAAUAGUUUAUAUUUUAUAAUAUGACGUUAACAAUUUUGUUUAAUAUUUGAAAAUGUUAGUAUUAGUAAUCUUAGUAUAUGUGCUAAAGGAACUCGGCAAAAAACCACUCAACUGUUUAUCAAAAACAUAGCUAUAUGAAUUAAUAUAUAGUUAUUUCUGCUCAAUGACUUAAAUAGCCGCAGUACUCUGACUGUGCAAAGGUAGCAUAAUCAGUUGGCUUUUAAUUAGAGUCUGGUAUGAACGAAAAUAUGGGUAGUAACUGUCUUAGCACAUUUUUCCGAACUUAUUAAACAAGUGCAAAUGCUUGUAAUUUAACAAUAGACGAGAAGACCCUAGAAACUUGGACAAGUUUUUGUUGGGGCGACAGAAUUACAUUUAACUAAUCUUAUAAUACACGACGCGAUGUUGAAAGAAUAAGUUACUCUAGGGAUAACAGCAUAAUUUCAUUAGUUUGUGACCUCGAUGUUGGACUAGGUACUAUACCCUUAAGGCAAGGAUAUAUUAUGCUCUGUUCGAGCAAAAUUACCUACAUGAUCUGAGUUCAGAC
rnacentral:rRNA from 1 species